UCCUGGCUGUAAACGCUGCAGACUUGGUGUUGGGAAUCCUACGUGGAUGCCCAGUGCCGUAGAGAAGUUGUUAAGUCUGCCGCUUGGGGACCGCUGUCGCUAAGACAGAGGAAGGGGAGGUCAACGGUAGGUCAGUAUGCCCCGAAUCUCCUGGGCUACACGCGCGCUACAAAGGACAGGACAAAGGGUUUUCAACACCGAGAGGUGAAGGUAAUCUCGAAACCUGUUCGUAGUUCGGACUGAGGGCUGUAACUCGCCCUCACGAAGCUGGAUUCCGUAGUAAUCGCAGGUCAACAUCCUGCGGUGAAUAUGCCCCUGCUCUUUGCACACACCGCCCGUCAAACC
rnacentral:rRNA from 1 species